UUAAGGGCAUUUGGUGGAUGCCUUGGUGGCAAGAGGCGAUGAAGGACGUGGUACGCUGCGAUAAGCCGUGGGGAGGUGCGAACAACCUUUGAUCCGCGGAUUUCCGAAUGGGGAAACCCACCUCUGAAGCCAGUAUAUCGAGGGCAGGCGCAAGCCUGGCUUCGCGCUACUGGCUUUCUGAGAGGUAUCAUUCACUGAAUCCAUAGGUGAAUGAGGCGAACCCAGGGAACUGAAAUAUCUCAGUACCUGGAGGAAAGGACAUCAACCGAGACUCCGCUAGUAGUGACGAGCGAACGCGGACCAGGCCAGUGCUUUAGCUGCGACAACCGGAACCUUCUGGAAAGUAGGGCCAUAGCGGGUGAUAGCCCCGUACGGGUAAUGCAAAGCUAAAGCCUCGAGUAGGGCGGGACACGUGAAAUCCUGUCUGAACAUGGGGGGACCACCCUCCAAGCCUAAGUACUCCUUGCCAACCGAUAGCGAACAAGUACCGUGAGGGAAAGGUGAAAAGCACCCCUACAAGGGGAGUGAAAUAGUACCUGAAACCGAAUGCCUACAAACAGCCGGAGCGAAAGUGACGGCGUACCUUUUGUAUAAUGGGUCAGCGACUUAGUCUGUCGAGCAAGCUUAAGGCGAUAGCUGUAGGCGAAGCGAAAGCGAGUCUGAACAGGGCGUUCAGUUCGACGGAUUAGACCCGAAACCGGGUGAUCUAUGCAUGAGCAGGUUGAAGGCCGAGUAACACCGGCUGGAGGACCGAACCCAUAAAUGUUGAAAAAUUUUGGGAUGACUUGUGCAUAGGGGUGAAAGGCCAAUCAAACUCGGAAAUAGCUGGUUCUCCGCGAAAUCUAUUGAGGUAGAGCGUCGGAUCUAUGCUCCCGGGGGUAGAGCACUGGAUGGGCUAGGGGUCCUCACCGGAUUACCAAACCUAACCAAACUCCGAAUACCGGGAUGUCUUAUCCGGCAGACACACUGCGGGUGCUAACGUUCGUAGUGGAAAGGGAAACAACCCUGACCGCCAGCUAAGGUCCCAAAGUCAUGGCUAAGUGGGAAAGGAUGUGAGAACCCCAAAACAACCAGGAGGUUGGCUUAGAAGCAGCCAUCCUUUAAAGAAAGCGUAACAGCUCACUGGUCUAAAUAAGGGUUCUUGCGCCGAAAAUGUAACGGGGCUGAAGCCAUGCACCGAAGCUGCGGGUGUGCAACUUGUUGCACGCGGUAGCGGAGCGUUCCGUAAGCCUGCGAAGGUGUGCCGUGAGGUGCGCUGGAGGUAUCGGAAGCGCGAAUGCUGACAUGAGUAACGACAAAGAGUGUGAGAAACACUCUCGCCGAAAGUCCAAGGGUUCCUGCGUAAAGCUAAUCUGCGCAGGGUUAGCCGGCCCCUAAGUCGAGGGCGAAAGCCGUAGACGAUGGGAACCAUGUUAAUAUUCAUGGGCCAGGGGAUGGUGACGGAUCUCAAAAGUUGUCGGUCCUUAUCGGAUUGAACCGGCCGCGAAGAGGUUCCAGGAAAUAGCCCCCCAUCAGACCGUACCCUAAACCGACACAGGUGGACAGGUAGAGCAUACCAAGGCGCUUGAGAGAACUAUGUUGAAGGAACUCGGCAAAUUGCUCCCGUAAGUUCGCGAGAAGGGAGACCUCCUUAUGCGCAAGCAUCUGGAGGUGGCACAGACCAGGGGGUGGCGACUGUUUAUCAAAAACACAGGGCUCUGCGAAGCCGCAAGGCGACGUAUAGGGUCUGACGCCUGCCCGGUGCCGGAAGGUUAAGUGGAGGGGUGCAAGCUCCGAAAUGAAGCCCCGGUAAACGGCGGCCGUAACUAUAACGGUCCUAAGGUAGCGAAAUUCCUUGUCGGGUAAGUUCCGACCUGCACGAAUGGCGUAACGACUUCCCCGCUGUCUCCAACAUAGACUCAGUGAAAUUGAAUUCCCCGUGAAGAUGCGGGGUUCCUGCGGUUAGACGGAAAGACCCCGUGCACCUUUACUAUAGCUUCGCAUUGGCAUUCGUGACUGCAUGUGUAGGAUAGGUGGGAGACUAUGAAGCGCCGGCGCCAGCUGGCGUGGAGUCACCCUUGAAAUACCACCCUUAUAGUUAUGGAUGUCUAACUGCGGCCCGUUAUCCGGGUCCAGGACCGUGCGUGGUGGGUAGUUUGACUGGGGCGGUCGCCUCCCAAAGAGUAACGGAGGCGCGCGAAGGUUGGCUCAAGCUGGUCGGAAAUCAGCUGUCGAGUGCAAAGGCAUAAGCCAGCCUGACUGCGAGACAGACACGUCGAGCAGAGACGAAAGUCGGCCUUAGUGAUCCGGUGGUCCCGCGUGGAAGGGCCAUCGCUCAACGGAUAAAAGGUACGCCGGGGAUAACAGGCUGAUGACGCCCAAGAGUCCAUAUCGACGGCGUUGUUUGGCACCUCGAUGUCGGCUCAUCGCAUCCUGGGGCUGGAGCAGGUCCCAAGGGUUUGGCUGUUCGCCAAUUAAAGCGGUACGUGAGCUGGGUUCAGAACGUCGUGAGACAGUUCGGUCCCUAUCUGCCGUGGGUGUAGGAGAAUUGAGAGGAGCUGUCCUUAGUACGAGAGGACCGGGAUGGACGUACCUCUGGUGGAUCUGUUGUCGCGCCAGCGGCAGUGCAGAGUAGCUAAGUACGGAAGGGAUAACCGCUGAAAGCAUCUAAGCGGGAAGCCCACCUCAAAACAAGUUCUCCCUUGAGAGCCGUGGAAGACCACCACGUUGAUAGGCUGGGUGUGGAAGUGCGGUAACGCAUGAAGCUAACCAGUACUAAUAGCUCGAUCGGCUUGAUU
rnacentral:rRNA from 1 species